GGUGUGAAAGCAAAUUUCUGAGACUGAACAGCAAACUGAGAGAGCCUCGGUCAGGGAAAUGUUUGAGAGGCAAAUCGAAACAGUUUCCAGAAAGAAAAUGGUCAGAUUUCUUUUUUGGCUUUUUACGCACAAAUGAGGGGAGAAAAUGCGCAUCUGUGCAGGACUUGAGUUUGGAGAUCUUUAUGAGUUUAUGAAGUGGCAGAAAUUCAGAAUUCUCAUGAUUAAUUAGAAAGUGUAUUUUCGCACUUAAAGUGCAGUAGACAUGGUGCAUAACAGCGCUGAUCAGAGGGUGAAUAAACGAUGUGUACGCUUCGCCCCUGACUGAUGCCUGACAGACAGGUGAUGGAUUGGCGCAAGAGCACGUCGGUGCAAAGCCGAGCGAACCGGCGGCGGCGGCAGCCUCACCCUCUCUCCCUCUCCUCUCCCCUGCUCCUCCUCUCCUCCUUCUUUCUCUCUCGCGCUGCCUCUUGGAGCAGACUCUCUGGCGCCGGCGCCGUGACGUCACCCCAUUCACAGCAGCCCUCGAGCCAGCCCUCGCGGCGCCGCUGAGGCGGUUUCCAUGGAGACGGGGUUUCGGGGAUGUCAGUCGGAGGUGGGUUCUCAGCUGAUCAACCCGCGGGGCCGAACCGGGGAGGCUCGACAGCACCGGGGACCGGUUUGGGGCCUCUGCGGGACUCUGAUGUGCUGCCGGUGCUGCUUUCAGGGACAAAUGUUCAAACUCACCACUGAGGGGAUGUAACUAACAUUUACUCACAAUUGUAGGGUCGGUUUGCCUCUAGAGUGUUUCAGUUUGAUGCAGCGUUAUUCUGCAGGACAGAUGAGAGGGAAACAGGUCUACUUUUACCUCCAUUGUGUUUACCUGACAUCUAUAGUUACUUUACAGGUUGAGAUUUAACAUAUAAAACAAGGUGAUCUUCCAAGACAUGGUGCACAGCUGUGGAUUUAAGACGAUUUAAGCUGCUCAGUAGUAUAUAAAAUAACUACCAAUAAUAAGAGGCAUAUGUAUUGUAAAGAUUUUUAUUUUAAGUAUGCUACAUACCUAAUUAAGUUACACAUUGAAUGCAGGACUGUUACAUCUGAGUACUUGUGCUGUGCAUACCUGCUACCUUUAUCUAAGUAAAGGGGCCAAAGACAUCAUCCACCAUUCAAAUCCUUCAGUGUUUUUUAUCCUUUAUUUAUUGCCAUAAUCUUUCAAGCAUGACACAGAAGCAAAAGAGAUAUAGUAAUUUUUUUCCAACAAACUUCUUUAAAUUGAAUUGAAAUAAAUUCAACCUUUUAAAUUUAGUUUUGUACUUUUUCCUUAUUUUUUUUCCAAAACAAACCAACUUCUGUAAUUGAUAGUGUGUAAUUUUGAGUUAUUUUACUUUGCAUUACUGUUACUUAUAUACGAGUAAAAGCUGAAUACAUCCUCCA